GUGCAGUUGGGCCGGCGAUCGGACCUCGUGAGGGUGGAUUUCAAUCUGGUCCGCUAGUUGCUUAUAAAAGGAGAUUGUGCCCCACGACUCAUAACCAGAACAGACUGUAACAAUCAUCAACUGAAAUCUGAGAGAGUAUCCAUGACUGCUAAGACACUGGGGUCAGUUGUGCCAGACAGAAAGCUCCAACUAUUUAAGAUUCCUAGUCAUGUAGUUCACAAACACAUGGGGAAAGGAGGCCAGUUAAUCAAUGUUUAUGUUCCAGUAGGAUCAGGGAACCAAAGCAGAAUUAAGAGGUUCCACACAGAGGCCUAAGUGAAGCAGGAGGAUCCAGCCCCACAGCAUCUGGCACUGAGCCCUGUUUGCCGACUGGCUCCUUUCCCCAUGUGCCUGUUUCCCAGCUAAGUCCCUGCACAGGCUAACAUACCACAGACUCUCACAUGUGCCUUCCCCUGGGGAUGACUUCUGCUCAGGAAAGGAUUCCCUCAGCAGGGAAGUGCUGGUGGCCAUCCCUGGGCUGCCAGGUCACCUGGGGAAAGAAAGGCAUUCUACCUGCUACAAAGCACCAUCCAUGCCUGCGGGCACCAUAAGGGAAAGGACUGGUUAAGGCAGGCAGCUCACAGCUGUGGACCAGGUUUGGAAAACCUGCUUAGGCCAACAGAGUUUCCCAUCUUGCACCUCUCCGGUGCCGACCUCCACACAAGGACUUCAGAGGAACAAUGACCCAAAUGGGGUUAAAGAGAAACGAUAUAUCAGUGACUCCCCCCUUGACAGAGUGGUUCUGAAAAGAGACUCUAGUGUCUGUCAAGGAGUUCACGAGGGCGGCACGACCUCAGCGGCCCUGUGGUGGCUCUCCGUGUUCUCUCCCAGCCGAGAUGUCAGACGGCAAUCUGCGCGAUGGUCACGCGCCCUGCAGCUGGAGGUCGGGGCGACAAGGAUGUCUUUGCGGCCGCUGGGUCCUCGGGUGCUGGAGCGCCAGCACCCUCACGCUUAAAGCGGCAGCAGAUGCUCCAGGCCCGCAGGGAAUUAAGCGUGCACGCCAGGACCACGCCCUUCCGGUGGCGCGCUAAGACCCUAGAGCGAAGAGGCCGAAGGAAACCAGCGCGGCAGAAACUGACCAGUAGCAACGACUGGCUGCUUACACCGUCAAAAGCUUCGCUGCCCAACUGUUAUUAUACAGGGCUGUGGAUGCGGUACCCACCAAUGGGCUGAAGAGGCUCUGCAGCCCUGGAGUCCCAUUGGCUGCUCCGUGGAGCUCUUUGUCCAAUCAGACAAGACCUGGAAAGUCGCCUCUUUUGCAUACAGCCCUGAAGGCCUCAGCUCGCACCCAGCCUGCUGGGCCCCUCCCUGCCUCGGAAGCCUGCGGCUUUUGGGAUAGCAAGCUCCCCGCGCUCGAAUCUCCGUGCCGCCUGUGCUGGUUGGAAGGCGGAGGAGCCGGCGUUUCGCCUCAGCGCGCUCCUUAAGUGCUACCCGCCGAGGUUGGGUAAUUGGAACGGGCAGAGUCUGGGGAAAAGGUACACAGAGGUGCGUGUGAAAAGGCGAAUGCUCCUCCUAAGAGCGAGAUCUAGGCGCUUGUGUUCCUUCUUAGGGGAAAGCAGAGGGGCCGACCCAGGACAGAGUAAAGGACUUUCAGGAAAUGGUAAGCAGGAAUAACUAGAAUAGUUCCUGACGCUGGAGUUGAUACGGCGUCGAAUUCUGGUCUUUGUGGUCUGAGUUCACCUUCGCGGAAAGUCUGGAGAGGCCUACUGCUUUGAUGCCAAGUUCCCCCGGGCAGAUAUGGUUAGUUUGGGGAAAGCUUCUGCCUGCAUUUGCGGUUUUCCAAGUGCCUUUUAGCUCAAAGCAGUCACCUUCCCAAGGUGGAGUAUGUGGGGAGGGGCAUCCUGGACUACUCCUGGUUCGAACUCCAAGUUUUGUUUUUUUAUUACCGGGAAUUGAACCCAGGUGAGCUUAACCACUGAGCCACAUUCCCAUCCUUUUUUAAUAUUUUAUUUAGAGACAGGGUCUCACUGAGUUGCUGAGGGCCUCACUAAGUUGCUGAGGCUGACUUUGAAUUACGAUCCUCCUGCCUUAGCCUUUUGAGCCACUGGGAUUACAGAUGUGCACCAUCACACCUGCUCACACUCCCAAGUUUUAUGAGGUCUGUCAAGUCUCAGUUUGGCCACAUCCCUUUAGGGUUACAGGUGGGUGCUGACUCUACCAGUUGCAAUCCUUUGGGUGGGAGGCCUGGGCCUAGGUAAGAGGCCAGUGCCAGAGGUUCUGAGGGCCAGGGGCUUGAUAGGGUGCAACGGGGGAGGCCCAGGCUGCUCUGGUGACUGCAAAAAGACACACCCUGCAGCCCACUCAGUCUAAUGGCCAAGGACUCCAAAGCCUAGUACAGAGAGUAUCAAUCUUAUAAUUAAGAAAGAAAUCUUGGAAAGUACCCAGAAGUUGCUUAUGCACAGGAAAACAUACUGGUCCUAGUCACAAGACAAAUUCAGUGGCAGAUCCGCGUAGAAUUGAACUCUUACAAGACAUGCUGUUCUGCAAACAGGAGCAGUGAGGCAUGUGUCUAUUACUAACAUGUUAUGCUUCCUGACAGUGUUUUUAAAACUUGUCUACUCUUGUUUGUACCAGCAAGGGUCCUAUAAAUAGUACUUCAGCA